rnacentral:rRNA from 1 species
UACAGAGGGGGCAAGCGUUGUUCGGAAUUACUGGGCGUAAAGGGCGCGUAGGCGGCCUGCUAAGUCGAACGUGAAAUCCCCAGGCUUAACCUGGGAACUGCAUUCGAGACUGCAUUGCUAGAGUAUGGGAGAGGGAAGUGGAAUUUCCGGUGUAGCGGUGAAAUGCGUAGAUAUCGGAAGGAACAUCAGUGGCGAAAGCGACUUCCUGGACCAAUACUGACGCUCAUGUGCGAAAGCGUGGGGAGCAAACAGG